UCAAGGCGCUCCAGUAUCCUAACUCAGGAGUUCCUGAGUCUGUCCUGUCGUCUGUCCCGUCAGCCCUGAUGCGCUCAUCCCAUCAGUGGCGGGAGGGAGAGCAUGCGCCGCGGCCCAGCGUCAUCUACAGGAAAACGCCGGUUGUCCAGGAAAGCAAUUUAAUACACUAGCUGAAGGGAAAAAACUAAUCCAUGCUUCUUUCUUUCUUCCAGGGCAAAAAGCCAGGGGCCAAGCGAGGAAUCUGGUCGUCGGAAGUUGUAGAAUGGAAACUGCUACAAAACAUUAUAUGCAGCUGCUGCCGAUGUUGCUGUUGUUGCUGCCGCUGGUGUGAGUGUGGGUUGCUGCCGCUGGUGUGAGAAGGAGAUGUUGCCGUCAUUCCGGAGAUUGCAUGCGCCGCUGUUGCUGCAUUUCCAGACUGUUGCCACCGGGAGAUUGACUGCGCUUGUCUGUCAUGUUGCUGGUGACGCCCAUGUCCAGGCCCGCUGCCGUCUCCUUCCCAAUCAAUCCAGGCAGUCCCUAUGGACGCAAACCGCCAAUCGGCAUCUCAUCGCCAAAGGACCGAUACUGGGAUUUACUCGGCCAAGCAUUGGCCGCCGAUCCCGUUGCCGCUACCGUUGCUGCUACUACUGCCUCUGGAGAGAGACAACGCCACGAGCUGAAGCAUCCUCUCCUCGCAAAGCCGGAUUUGCAACGCAGGCGCUAAGCUCGGAGCUGAGAGCGUCACAUUGGAGUCGGGUCUUCGGAAUUCAGGAACUUCAGCUCCCUCUUUCAGGGCCUCCAGGAGUGGUGGGUGUGGCCAGCGAACUGUUCUGCUCACCGCUUGGUCUCUGCCGCCACUGUUGCUGGCCUUGCUGCUGUUGUUGUUGCUGCCUUGGUGAGCUAAAGCGCCCGAUGCGCUGUUGUUUUUGUUGUAGAGGUUGGACCGCCAGUGUGGCGUCCAUUACAGCAGCAGAUGGAUCCAUCAGGAGCCGAAGAGUCGCAGAUCCCUCGGUUGGAAAGGAGAGAUGGAUUUUCAAUCACGCCAGGAGAGACGAUUUAAAUACGCAGCCAACCAGCCAUCAUUAUUUUGUUAUUCAGUAGGUGUUUAGUUAAGUUAAUUUUACCAUUAUAUCUAUAAGCGCAUUUCCCUUUUUAUGUAACCUGUAACUUAGCCUUUAGCCUUUUUGUAUUUCUUUCCUUUCUUUUCAAUAUUUUUGCCACCCCUUCCGCCAGUUUAAUUACUUCUGCCUUCUGCUCCUACCCUGGUUUGUUUUGAU